ACGUGUCGCUUCUGAGGGCCCGGCUUGGACCCAAGACAUCUGUCGGCCCAAUCAUACAUGAGCCACCGGAGGACGAGGUAGUGGAGCCGGUUCGAGUGCUGGCGAAGCGUAGAAUACGAGUAGAAGGACGACUGGAAACCCAGAUACUAGUGGAGUGGCUGGGGAGAGCAGCAGACCAGGCCACAUGGGAGUUUGAGACUGAGAUACUUGAUCGUUUCCCUGACUUCCGACCUUGAGGACAAGGUUAAGGGAAGCGUGGUGGAGUGAUGCGGUUGGAUCCACUA
rnacentral:lncRNA from 1 species